GGCGGGGAAGGUGCUGGUGCGCCCCUCGGGUUGCAAACCCGACGGCGGAACGCAACAAGUGUUCCGGCUGGGUUCAAUUCCCAGCCCCGCCU
rnacentral:sRNA from 1 species